rnacentral:tRNA from 1 species
GGACUUACAGGUGCCAAGUCGGGACUUCAAAUCCGAUGUGGGGCGCUAAAACCGUCCCGGGUGGGUUCGAUUCCCAUGCACUUCCGCCA